rnacentral:lncRNA from 10 species
ACCCUGUUCUGUCAUUUAAGGUUCUAAAGUACUUGGAGAGGAAGCAAGAGCAGAACCACAGCUUCAGCCGUAGCAGAAGAAAGAGACGGGAAGUGAGACAAAUCUUGUCUUUUUUGAGCAGAGUUUCCUUAGACACUGGUCUAAAGUUUAGAGCAAGACCUGGGCUUGGUGGCGCUGAUGGCAGGCGUGCCUGCCGAGGGCUCCAGUUUCAAGAAGCUCACAGGCAGCGCGUCCAGAAAAUUACAGUUACUUGUAAAGAUUUAAAAACGGGCCAGGCGUGGUGGCUCACACCUAUAAUCCCAACACUUUGGGAGGCUGAGGCGGGCAGAUCAUGAGGUCAGGAGAUUGAGACCAUCCUGGCUAACAGGGUAAAACCCUGUCUUUACUGAAAAUAUAAAAAAUUAGCCGGGCGUCGUGGCAUGCGUCCGUAGUCCCAGCUACUCAGGA